rnacentral:rRNA from 1 species
CCUACGGGUGGCUGCAGUAGGGAAUAUUGCACAAUGGGGGAAACCCUGAUGCAGCAACGCCGCGUGGAUGAUGACGGUUUUCGGGUUGUAAAGUCCUGUUUUUAGAGACGAUAAUGACGGUAUCUAACGAGUAAGCACCGGCUAACUCCGUGCCAGCAGCCGCGGUAAUACGGAGGGUGCAAGCGUUACCCGGAUUCACUGGGCGUAAAGAGAGCGUAGGCGGGAUAGUAAGUCAGAUGUGAAAUACUAGGGCUUAACGAUAGUGCUGCAUUUCAAACUGUAAGUCUAGAGUAUGGGAGAGGAAGAUGGAAUUCUUAGUGUAGGGGUAAAAUGCGUAGAGAUUAAGAAGAAUACUAGUUGCGAAGGCGA